AUGAAUGCUGGAUUGUUGUUAGAUGUGAACCAGCGGGACUCGGGCAAAGUGCAUAGGGCUGACUUCCGUGGAGACAGACUGGAUGUCUCAAGAAUAAACAAAGCUUCCAUUCUCCACAAAUCUCCAUCUUAUUACUCUCAUGAUUCUUCCCAGUCAAACAAGAGUCCUAGGACAACAAUCCUGACCUAUACAAAAACGAGACUGUUGGGUCUUCUGUACCUGGUGACAGCCCUUCCUGGUGUCCUGUCCCAGAUCCAGCUUCAGGAGUCAGGACCUGGCCUGGUGAAGCCCUCACAGUCGCUGUCCCUCACUUGCUCUGUCACUGGUCACUCCAUCACCACCAGUGGUAAUGACUGGCACUGAUUCAGGCAGUUCCCAGGGAAGAAGCUGGAGUGGAUGGGGUACAUAGGUUAUAGUGGUGGCACCAGCUACAACCCAUCCCUCAAGAGCCGCAUCUCCAUCACCAGAGACACAGCCAAGAACCAGUUCUUCCUGCAGCUGAACUCUGUGACCACUGAGGACACAGCCACAUAUUACUGUGCA